UUAAGCGACUAAGCGUACACGGUGGAUGCCCUGGCAGUCAGAGGCGAUGAAGGACGUGCUAAUCUGCGAUAAGCGUCGGUGAGGUGAUAUGAACCGUUAUAACCGGCGAUUUCCGAAUGGGGAAACCCAGUGUGUUUCGACACACUAUCAUUAACUGAAUCCAUAGGUUAAUGAGGCGAACCGGGGGAACUGAAACAUCUAAGUACCCCGAGGAAAAGAAAUCAACCGAGAUUCCCCCAGUAGCGGCGAGCGAACGGGGAGGAGCCCAGAGCCUGAAUCAGUGUGUGUGUUAGUGGAAGCGUCUGGAAAGGCGCGCGAUACAGGGUGACAGCCCCGUACACAAAAAUGCACAUACUGUGAGCUCGAUGAGUAGGGCGGGACACGUGGUAUCCUGUCUGAAUAUGGGGGGACCAUCCUCCAAGGCUAAAUACUCCUGACUGACCGAUAGUGAACCAGUACCGUGAGGGAAAGGCGAAAAGAACCCCGGCGAGGGGAGUGAAAAAGAACCUGAAACCGUGUACGUACAAGCAGUGGGAGCCUCUUAAUGGGGUGACUGCGUACCUUUUGUAUAAUGGGUCAGCGACUUAUAUUCUGUAGCAAGGUUAACCGAAUAGGGGAGCCGAAGGGAAACCGAGUCUUAACUGGGCGUUAAGUUGCAGGGUAUAGACCCGAAACCCGGUGAUCUAGCCAUGGGCAGGUUGAAGGUUGGGUAACACUAACUGGAGGACCGAACCGACUAAUGUUGAAAAAUUAGCGGAUGACUUGUGGCUGGGGGUGAAAGGCCAAUCAAACCGGGAGAUAGCUGGUUCUCCCCGAAAGCUAUUUAGGUAGCGCCUCGUGAAUUCAUCUCCGGGGGUAGAGCACUGUUUCGGCAAGGGGGUCAUCCCGACUUACCAACCCGAUGCAAACUGCGAAUACCGGAGAAUGUUAUCACGGGAGACACACGGCGGGUGCUAACGUCCGUCGUGAAGAGGGAAACAACCCAGACCGCCAGCUAAGGUCCCAAAGUCAUGGUUAAGUGGGAAACGAUGUGGGAAGGCCCAGACAGCCAGGAUGUUGGCUUAGAAGCAGCCAUCAUUUAAAGAAAGCGUAAUAGCUCACUGGUCGAGUCGGCCUGCGCGGAAGAUGUAACGGGGCUAAACCAUGCACCGAAGCUGCGGCAGCGACACUAUGUGUUGUUGGGUAGGGGAGCGUUCUGUAAGCCUGUGAAGGUGGCCUGUGAGGGUUGCUGGAGGUAUCAGAAGUGCGAAUGCUGACAUAAGUAACGAUAAAGCGGGUGAAAAGCCCGCUCGCCGGAAGACCAAGGGUUCCUGUCCAACGUUAAUCGGGGCAGGGUGAGUCGACCCCUAAGGCGAGGCCGAAAGGCGUAGUCGAUGGGAAACAGGUUAAUAUUCCUGUACUUGGUGUUACUGCGAAGGGGGGACGGAGAAGGCUAUGUUGGCCGGGCGACGGUUGUCCCGGUUUAAGCGUGUAGGCUGGUUUUCCAGGCAAAUCCGGAAAAUCAAGGCUGAGGCGUGAUGACGAGGCACUACGGUGCUGAAGCGACAAAUGCCCUGCUUCCAGGAAAAGCCUCUAAGCAUCAGGUAACAUUAAAUCGUACCCCAAACCGACACAGGUGGUCAGGUAGAGAAUACCAAGGCGCUUGAGAGAACUCGGGUGAAGGAACUAGGCAAAAUGGUGCCGUAACUUCGGGAGAAGGCACGCUGAUAUGUAGGUGAAGCGACUUGCUCGUGGAGCUGAAAUCAGUCGAAGAUACCAGCUGGCUGCAACUGUUUAUUAAAAACACAGCACUGUGCAAACACGAAAGUGGACGUAUACGGUGUGACGCCUGCCCGGUGCCGGAAGGUUAAUUGAUGGGGUUAGCGGCAACGCGAAGCUCUUGAUCGAAGCCCCGGUAAACGGCGGCCGUAACUAUAACGGUCCUAAGGUAGCGAAAUUCCUUGUCGGGUAAGUUCCGACCUGCACGAAUGGCGUAAUGAUGGCCAGGCUGUCUCCACCCGAGACUCAGUGAAAUUGAACUCGCUGUGAAGAUGCAGUGUACCCGCGGCAAGACGGAAAGACCCCGUGAACCUUUACUAUAGCUUGACACUGAACAUUGAGCCUUGAUGUGUAGGAUAGGUGGGAGGCUUUGAAGUGUGGACGCCAGUCUGCAUGGAGCCGACCUUGAAAUACCACCCUUUAAUGUUUGAUGUUCUAACGUGGGCCCGUAAUCCGGGUUGCGGACAGUGUCUGGUGGGUAGUUUGACUGGGGCGGUCUCCUCCUAAAGAGUAACGGAGGAGCACGAAGGUUGGCUAAUCCUGGUCGGACAUCAGGAGGUUAGUGCAAUGGCAUAAGCCAGCUUGACUGCGAGCGUGACGGCGCGAGCAGGUGCGAAAGCAGGUCAUAGUGAUCCGGUGGUUCUGAAUGGAAGGGCCAUCGCUCAACGGAUAAAAGGUACUCCGGGGAUAACAGGCUGAUACCGCCCAAGAGUUCAUAUCGACGGCGGUGUUUGGCACCUCGAUGUCGGCUCAUCACAUCCUGGGGCUGAAGUAGGUCCCAAGGGUAUGGCUGUUCGCCAUUUAAAGUGGUACGCGAGCUGGGUUUAGAACGUCGUGAGACAGUUCGGUCCCUAUCUGCCGUGGGCGCUGGAGAACUGAGGGGGGCUGCUCCUAGUACGAGAGGACCGGAGUGGACGCAUCACUGGUGUUCGGGUUGUCAUGCCAAUGGCACUGCCCGGUAGCUAAAUGCGGAAGAGAUAAGUGCUGAAAGCAUCUAAGCACGAAACUUGCCCCGAGAUGAGUUCUCCCUGACCCUUUAAGGGUCCUGAAGGAACGUUGAAGACGACGACGUUGAUAGGCCGGGUGUGUAAGCGCAGCGAUGCGUUGAGCUAACCGGUACUAAUGAACCGUGAGGCUUAACCUU
rnacentral:rRNA from 1 species